rnacentral:lncRNA from 1 species
AUGGUCCAGCGUUUGACAUACUGUUGUAGGCUUUCCUACAAUACAGCUUCUAAUAAAACUAGGCUGUCCUGAACCCCUGGUAAUAUAAUUGCUUACCUUUAUACCAAGAAGGCUGGGAAAGCACCAAAAUCUACUGUGGUGUGUACCCACGCAGACUUCAAGGGGUUCGUGCUAUAAGACCCGAAGUCUUAUGAGAUUGUCCAAAACACAAAAAACCAUGUCAGCAGGGCCUAUGGUGGUUCCAUGUGUGCUAUAUGUGUUUGUGACAGGAUCAAGCAUGUUUUCCUUAUCGAGGAAAAGAAAAUCAUUGUGAGAGUGUUGAAGGCACAAGCACAGGGUCAGAAAGCUAAAU